GGGAAGCUCAGUUACACUCUACUGCCCAGCCAGCCAGGAACAGAGCUAACAUUUCACAUUGGAGCCUGGGAGGAUGGUUCACCUGUCUGUGGAAGAUGAAUGCCAUUCUGGAGGUAUCUUGUAUCAUCUAAACUUGAAUUUAGCCUGCAAAAGAGCCCAGCAAAUAACGGUUUUGAGUGACAGGGCAAAGCACAGGUAACAGAAUGAAUCACAUCCUACCUGGACUCAGUCCUCAAAACUAUGUGGCUAUGGGAGUUGAAAAGCCCUGUGACAAAUCUGGUAGAAGUAAGAAUUCAGCAAAAGCUAAUAAAUCCAAAAAUAUGUUCACCAUAUCCUUUCUGACUGCCCAUCUGCCCUGCCUGGACUACAGCACUGGCCUCCUAUCUGGGUGACCUGCUUCUGCUCAUGCACCAGUCUGUUCUCCACAGAGCAUCCACAGUGCUCCUGUCACAACUAAAGUCAGAUCAAGUCAUUUCUGUGCUCAAAACUUUCCCAAGACUCCCUCUAACUCAGAAUAAAAAAUUCUUACAAUGGCCCACAAGGCCAUUUGGUUGGCCAUGCCCUGUCCAUUUCCUUUCUGACAUCUUCACGUACUUUCCCCUCACUCCUCUGUUCCCUCAGUGGCCUCGAUGCUGUUCCUUGCUGAAAGGACUUGUAGUGGCUGUUCUCAAUGUCUGGUGCACCUUUCCCCCGACAAUUCCCUCUGCUACUUCACAUCUUUGUUGAGGUAUCACCUUCCUGAGGAGGUCUGACUACUUAAAAUUCCAACCUGCACCCCCACCCACAUACUGAUGUGUCUUAGCCUACUCGAUUUUUUUAUUACUUCCAUAACAUCUAUUACCUUCUAGAGUGAUAUAAAAUUCAAGGCCCUUUUGAUUAUAUUUAUUGUUUAUGGACUGUCUCUCCAUGCUAGAACAUAUCCUCCAUGAGGGCAGGAAUCUUUGUCAGUUUUGUUCAGCAAUCUAUCCUAAGCACCUAGAGCAGUGCUUAGCACACAGGAGGCAUUCAAUAAAUAGUUAGUGAAUGAAUGGACAAUACUUAAACCUCAGUGACUGUCCCCGUGUGCUAGCUAUUACAUCAAAUACUUUAUGUGAUUAUUUCUUUUAGACUUCCCAACAUGAGGGAUAAACAUUUUCCCCAUUUUACAGAUGAAGAAACUGAGAGGUUAACUAGCUUAUCUGAAGUCACAAGUCUAACUCCAAGUAAGCACAGCCUGUUUGACCCCAAAGACUAUCCCCCUUUGCAUUAUAACAUCUGGAAAUGAAUAUGUAGAAAAUGGGAUACUAAUCUGAUGCCAGCAGCUGAGGUCAAGACACAGAAAUGUCCACAGGCAGUAGAUUUCUUUGGUAACAUCUUUUGAAACCACCCUAGGGUGGGAAAUAGAGCAAGUUUUCAGGUCCCCCUCUGUCCUGCUGUAAUCAAACCUGCCAAUAAAAGACAGAGGCUUCUGUGUUCAGUGGUCUCUAUUUUGAACAUUGGUAUCUUCUGUCUGAAUUGGACUUGUUUUGAGCAUUAGCAUAUUCUUUGCAAACUAUAGUAGUUUCAAAAGAGGUUAUUAAUUGGGUAACCACCAAGGGUAGUUUAUCAAUGUGACAUGAGUGUAGGUAAGGGCAUAAUUUAAAGUUAGGCAGAGGUGUGCCUGGGUGGCCUAGCUGGUUAAAUGCCAUACUUCAGUUCAGGUCAUCAUCUCGCAGUUCAUGAGU